rnacentral:lncRNA from 1 species
UCCUUGACUGUAAACUAAUUGUGACUCACUUUUGACCCACAGAAUGCAGUGGAGGUGAUACUAUGGUCAUAAUGACCAGGGGCUGGGUCAGAAGAACUUCAGAUUGAGCCUCUUGAAACAUUUGCUCUUGGAAUUCUCCCUCUCAGGAAACUAACAGCCUGCUAUGAAGCCCAAGCCACAAAGAGAGGCCAAGGGGAAAUAAACAGAGUGUGAUUAUAUGCAAAACCUACAAGAAUGAGGACCUCCAAACUCAGUGUACAGAGUGAUUUUCUGCUGAAACAAUUGGAAAAUAAAAGAGACAUCAGUGUGUGAAUGACGACUUUCUGUUGCUGACUUGGAAGACAGAGGAAUUGGGUCAUGAGCCGAGGAAGGUGGGCAGCUUCUAAAAGGCGGAAAAGGCAGGGGAUGGCUCUGGCAGAGAAUCACUCCUGAGUACAACUUUCUGGCGGAAGCUCUAGGGCAGUCAACAUAUACUGACUGUUCAACACAGGAGUGUAAAGGCCUGGCUCCCUGGUGCCAAUGCAGAACAAAUCAAAAGGAAUAUGCCAGCUCCAAAGCACCCAUAGGGGUGGACAGAGGCUUCUACUUGUUCUUCAUCACAAAUAUUUCUUCCUCUAACCAUGUUUCAGCCCCCACUAUUCCAUGGUUGAGGAUUUCAAGAGCACUCCUGAUGAACAUCCAGUGCACUAAUCCCCUUUUCAGUGGGCUUACUGGGGACUUUUAAAUAAUAUUAUAUGACUUUACAAACAGAGUAAGAACCAUA